rfam:Triticum urartu cultivar G1812 contig917483, whole genome shotgun sequence.
AGUGUCAUGUGAUGAAAACUUAUUCUAUCUUAGGACACCUUCGGACACAGUGCUGAUUUCCUGUGGAUGAGAAGGCUUUUAUAUUCUGAUGAUACG